AUCGCUUCUUGGCCUUUUGGCUAAGAUCAAGUGUUAAAAAAAAAAAAAAAUCAGUAUUGGGAGCCUGAGUGGCACAGUCAUUUGAGUUCUCUGACUCUAGGUCUCCCCUUGGGUCACCGUAUCAGGGUCCUGGGAUCAAGCUCC
rnacentral:snRNA from 1 species